AUUGAACGCUGGCGGCAGGCCUAACACAUGCAAGUCGAACGAGUGGCGGACGGGUGAGUAAUGUCUGGGAAACUGCCUGAUGGAGGGGGAUAACUACUGGAAACGGUAGCUAAUACCGCAUACCCUCAGCGGUGCCCAGAUGGGAUUAGAUUUGUGGUGGGGUAACGGCUCACCAAGGCGACGAUCCCUCGCUUGUCUGAGAGGAUGACCAGCCACACGGGAACUGAGACACGGUCCAGACUCCUACGGGAGGCAGCAGUGGGGAAUAUUGCACAAUGGGCGCAAGCCUGAUGCAGCCAUGCCGCGUGUAUGAAGAAGGCCUUAGGGUUGUAAAGUACUUUCAGCGGGGAGGCGUUACCCGCAGAAGAAGCACCGGCUAACUCCGUGCCAGCAGCCGCGGUAAUUC
rnacentral:rRNA from 1 species